rnacentral:rRNA from 1 species
AUACGUAGGGGGCGAGCGUUGUCCGGAAUGAUUGGGCGUAAAGGGCGCGUAGGCGGCCCGGUAAGUCUGGAGUGAAAGUCCUGUUUUUAAGAUGGGAAUUGCUUUGGAUACUGUCGGGCUUGAGUGCAGGAGAGGUAAGUGGAAUUCCCAGUGUAGCGGUGAAAUGCGUAGAGAUUGGGAGGAACACCAGUGGCGAAGGCGACUUACUGGACUGUAACUGACGCUGAGGCGCGAAAGUGUGGGGAGCAAACAGGAUUAGAUACCCUGGUAGUCCACACUGUAAACGUUGAAUGCUAGGUGUAGGGGGUAUCGACCCCUUCUGUGCCGCAGUCAACACAAUAAGCAUUCCGCCUGGGGAGUACGGCCGCAAGGUUGAAACUCAAAGGAAUUGACGGGG